GACGAACGCUGGCGGCGUGCUUAACACAUGCAAGUCGAACGAUGAAGCCGGAGCUUGCUCUGGUGAAUUAGUGGCGAACGGGUGAGUAACACGUGAGUAACCUGCCCUUGACUCUGGGAUAACUGCGGGAAACUGUAGCUAAUACCGGAUACGACCCUCGGAGGCAUCUCCUGGGGGUGGAAAGAAUUUCGGUCAAGGAUGGACUCGCGGCCUAUCAGCUAGUUGGUGAGGUAAAGGCUCACCAAGGCGACGACGGGUAGCCGGCAUGGGAGGGUGACCGGCCACACUGGGACUGAGACACGGCCCAGACUCCUACGGGAGGCAGCAGUGGGGAAUAUUGCACAAUGGGCGCAAGCCUGAUGCAGCAGCGCCGCGUGAGGGAUGACGGCCUUCGGGUUGUAAACCUCUUUUAGCAGGGAAGAAGCGAAAGUGACGGUACCUGCAGAAAAAGCACCGGCUAACUACGUGCCAGCCGCCGCGGUAA
rnacentral:rRNA from 1 species